UACGUAGGGCGCAAGCGUUGUCCGGAAUUAUUGGGCGUAAAGAGCUUGUAGGCGGUUUGUCGCGUCUGCUGUGAAAAUCCGGGGCUCAACCCCGGACUUGCAGUGGGUACGGGCAGACUAGAGUGUGGUAGGGGAGACUGGAAUUCCUGGUGUAGCGGUGAAAUGCGCAGAUAUCAGGAGGAACACCGAUGGCGAAGGCAGGUCUCUGGGCCACUACUGACGCUGAGAAGCGAAAGCAUGGGGGAGCGAACAGG
rnacentral:rRNA from 1 species